UACACACGUGCUACAAUGGUCGGUACAAAGGGUUGCUACCUAGCGAUAGGAUAGCUAAUCUCAAAAAGCCGAUCGUAGUCCGGAUUGGAGUCUGCAACUCGACUCCAUGAAGUCGGAAUCGCUAGUAAUCGCGGAUCAGAAUGCCGCGGUGAAUACGUUCCCGGGCCUU
rnacentral:rRNA from 1 species